rnacentral:rRNA from 1 species
AGUGAACGCUGGCGGUAGGCCUAACACAUGCAAGUCGAACGGCAGCACAGAGGAGCUUGCUCCUUGGGUGGCGAGUGGCGGAUGGGUGAGGAAUACAUCGGAAUCUACUCUGUCGUGGGGGAUAACGUAGGGAAACUUACGCUAAUACCGCAUACGACCUACGGGUGCAAGCAGGGGAUCUCCGGACCUUGCGCGAUCGCAUGAGCCGAUGUCGGGUUAGCUAGUUGGCGGGGUAAGGGCCCACCAAGGCGACGAUCCGUAGCUGGUCUGAGAGGAUGAUCAGCCACACUGGAACUGAGACACGGUCCGGACUCCUACGGGAGGCAGCAGUGGGGAAUAUUGGACAAUGGGCGCAAGCCUGAUCCAGCCAUACCGCGUGGGUGAAGAAGGCCUUCGGGUUGUAAAGCCCUUUUGUUGGGAAAGAAAUCCAUCUGGUUAAUACCCGGGUGGGAUGACGGUACCCAAAGAAUAAGCACCGGCUAACUUCGUGCCAGCCGCCGCCGUAA